rnacentral:rRNA from 1 species
UGCUUGUCUCAAAGAUUAAGCCAUGCAUGUCUUAGUAUAAGCAACUUUGUACUGUGAAACUGCGAAUGGCUCAUUAAAUCAGUUAUAGUUUAUUUGAUGGUUUUUGCUACAUGGAUAACUGUGGUAAUUCUAGAGCUAAUACAUGCAUUCAAGCCCCGACUUCUGGAAGGGGUGUAUUUAUUAGAUAAAAAUCAACUUUGUUGGUGAAUCAUAAUAACUUCUCGGACCGCAUGGCCUCGUGCUGGCGGUGCUUCAUUCAAAUAUCUGCCCUAUCAACUGUCGAUGGUAGGAUAGAGGCCUACCAUGGUUGCAACGGGUAACGGGGAAUAAGGGUUCGAUUCCGGAGAGGGAGCCUGAGAAACGGCUACCACAUCCAAGGAAGGCAGCAGGCGCGCAAAUUACCCAAUCCCGACACGGGGAGGUAGUGACAAUA